rnacentral:rRNA from 1 species
GAUGAACGCUAGCGGCAGGCUUAAUACAUGCAAGUCGAGGGGCAGCACGGUAGCAAUACUGGUGGCGACCGGCGCACGGGUGCGUAACACGUAUACAAUCUGCCUUUAACAGGGGGAUAGCCUUUCGAAAGAGAGAUUAAUACCCCAUAAUACGGGAUUCGGCAUCGAAUUCUGUUGAAAGCUCCGGCGGUUAAAGAUGA